rnacentral:hammerhead_ribozyme from 1 species
UGCCGAAACGCCCUAACUUGGCACAGCCAAUGUCAAAGGGCGUCCACUGAGGGAUGGCCUCCCGGUGCUGAGGAUGGCAGGCCAGA